AAGGAGGAAAUAGCUAACGCUCUUUAGUGGGAUCCAUGAGAGGUUUUGGGUCCAGUAAGACAUUGGAAGUCCAUGUUUGCAAAGGAUCAGGGUAUUAUGAGGCAUGUGAGGCUGAGGGGACAGCUGACCAGGGAACACAGGCACGAACACCCAGGCAUGUUUAAUGGACCUCAGAAUGUGGUGUAACAGAGUUGGUUAAGAGCCAAAACUCUUCAAUCAAUCCCAUAGACAGGAAUUCAAAUCUGACCCUGCAACAUACUUCCUGUGUGAUCUUGGCCAAGUUACUGGACUUCUUUGAGCCUCAGUGUCCUCAUCUGUACAAUGGGCAUGAUAAUAGUACUUGCUUGUGGAGAUGCUCUGAGAUGCCUGAGAGGCAUGUAAUAUUAUCCCAGUGCCUGCCCUGUGGUUUGGGGACUUACAUGUCAGUUCGUGGUGUAGACUGAGAAGCUGAAAAUGGGACCCAAAGGCACAUUGUAAAGCCCAUGGAAUUGUAUUAAGGAGUUUGGACUCUAUCCUCUUGCUCAGUGACUUUCAAAUCUUGACAGUACAUAACGGGGUUAAAGGUCUGAACAGCUCGUGUGCCCUGACCAGUUCAGAUCUCUUCCGGCCACUGCUUUCCUUCUUCCCAAACCCCUCCCCCAACUACUUUAUGGAUUAAGCAUAAAAAUGCCUAUGGGCAUCCACGUCCUGAAUCUGACUCCUUGUAGUGCUGAGCACAGAUUUUUAGGAAGAGAGACCAGGCACCCCUUAUAGAAAGAGCUUUUUGAUCAAGAGCCAUCAGGCAGCGCGUGGAGGGCCUCACCUAGUUCUUCCUCCUGGGCUUGGGCAUGCUCUCCUCCCUGCUUGCCUCUGCUGAGGACUGUAUUUCCUUGAAUUCUGCCUACCUACUCCCAGCGGGGCUACAGGCGAUUGUCUGCACCAGUCCUCACAGGAGGGUGCUCCCUGCCUUUUGGCAGUCAGUGCUAUUUCUCUGAGCUAGGUAGCCUGCUCUAAAUCUUACUAGGUUUACAAAGAGAAUCCUCCAUCCCACCUGAGAACUGGUUAUCAGUAGUGCCAUCCUGCUCAAAUAUCUUCAAAUACACACCACCAUCCAUGUGUGGGUUGAUUAAGGAGCUGACGUUCAUUAGAUCUGCAGUCUCCUGACCUGAUGUGCAUCAGAAUCACUGGGAGAACAAACAAACAAAAAUGAAUCCAAAACAAGCAACGAACAGACAGAUUCUCAAGUCUUGCCAAGUCCAAAGAUUGAUUUGGUGGAGAAAUUGUACUUUGAAAGCUGCCCAGUUUACUUGGCAGACAUCUCAGAGUUUCUUUCUGGUAUCUCUCUCAGGAUAUAGACCCCAAUAAAACAUAUGGCCUCACACAGCAGCGGCCUCACCAGGUCGCAGACACAUGUUUAGAAUUCCUCAGUCUACUGUGAGGCUGGCAAAGAAAGCCCCAAGCAAGAAAAGCAGACACUGGGCACUUUUGAACUUAUUCUGGGUAUUAAAGGAGCAUUACAUGAGAAAGAGUAUGUGCAAACAGCGGCCAGCAAUUUCAUCUGACUUGAGAGAUCCUUGUCACAGGAGGGAGUGGGUACAUAGCUAUGUGUGCAGCCCAUGCAUUUCGGAGGUAUUUUCUAGGCAAACUGCAUGAAGUCUUACAUGUGUACCUGCUGUCCUCAUGUGCAGAAUAAAGCCUUCUGUAAAAGACAGCAGACCGGAGUUGCAUCUGUGUCUAGGGCAUCUGUGCCUUCCACCAGGUGGAGAAGUUCACAGCAGUUUGGAUUUUUUCUGCC
rnacentral:lncRNA from 10 species